UACAGAGGGUGCAAGCGUUGUUCGGAAUUACUGGGCGUAAAGAGUGUGUAGGCGGUGCUCUAAGUUCGGUGUGAAAUCUCCCGCUUAACUGGGAGGGUGCGCCGGAAACUGGAGUGCUCGAGCGUGGGAGAGGGAAAGCGGAAGUUCCUGGUGUAGCGGUGAAAUGCGCAGAUAUCAGGAGGAACACCGGUGGCGAAGGCGGGUCUCUGGGCCGAUGACUGACGCUGGAGGAGCGAAAGCGUGGGGAGCGAACAGGGAUAGA
rnacentral:rRNA from 1 species